GAGAACACUAAACCGGAAAGUAUGUGGUUCGAUCCGAUUGGUAGGAAGCUUUCAAAUACGUGAGAUCGAUGUCAGCCCCGGAAGUGAAAGUCAGUCGUUAUUGAAUUUUGUCGAGAUGCAGUGCAGUGUCCGUGAUUCAAUGUUAGUCUUGGAAUUUAGCUAAGCGUAAUUGAACUUCUCAAUUUCAAGCUUUUGUACGUCGCUACUCACACAAAUACUUUCAUCGGGAUAAUCAGCAUCAUUUAUUUCAUAAGAUACAUAUUAAACUACUGUGUGUUUCGUAGAGUGAAGACGAGAGAACUUUCUCCUUCCAGUGACGUAUGCAAGAUGGAGACAUGUAGAACAUUACACUUAGGAUCAAAUAUUCAUUUGCGUGUGACUUGAAGAGAUGUGGCAUUCAUCUCCGUGAAUUAACAUUCGACACUACACGCCUACACAAAAGAGGCGUGUGUUUCCUAUGGUGACAGCCAAAUAAGUUCCAGAUGUAGCUGAUUUACAGAGGUUGGACGUGUAUAAAUGUGGCGUUUAUGUGCAUAUGUAUACAUAUAUAUGUCUGACAAGCCUUAUCUUUGUAAUAUCUCGAUACAUUUCAAAAUAAAAUUUUGACAUGUUUACUAAUAAUUCUUAAGCGUAAGCAGACAUCAAAUGCAAUACAACAACCACAAUUGCGGGAACUAAUGCAUAAGUGACGUGAGCCAAGAUUAUUCGAGGUCAACAACAAGACAGGUGAAUCAAUAACCCCUCUACAUAGCGAUUGGCCGACAUCAGGGCAUACAACUUACGAACUCUAACGGAGAAAACACUAAACUGGAAAUUACGUGCUUCGAUUUGAUUGGAUGGACGUGUACAUCAGCUUUCAAAUACUUCAGAUCGGUUCCAGCCCCGGAAGUGAAAGUCAGUCGUUAUUGAAUUUUGUCGAGAUACAGUGCAGUGUCCGUGAUUCAAUGUUAGUCUUGGAAUUUAGCUAAGAGUAAUUGAACUUCUCAAUUUCAAGCUUUUGUACGUCGCUACUCACACAAAUACUUUCAUCGGGAUAAUCAGCAUCAUUUAUUUCAUAAGAUACAUAUUAAACUACUGUGUGUUUCGUAGAGUGAAGACGAGAGAACUUUCUCCUUCCAGUGACGUAUGCAAGAUGGAGACAUGUAGAACAUUACACUUAGGAUCAAAUAUUCAUUUGCGUGUGACUUGAAGAGAUGUGGCAUUCAUCUCCGUGAAUUAACAUUCGACACUACACGCCUACACAAAAGAGGCGUGUGUUUCCUAUGGUGACAGCCAAAUAAGUUCCAGAUGUAGCUGAUUUACAGAGGUUGGACGUGUAUAAAUGUGGCGUUUAUGUGCAUAUGUAUACAUAUAUAUGUCUGACAAGCCUUAUCUUUGUAAUAUCUCGAUACAUUUCAAAAUAAAAUUUUGACAUGUUUACUAA